CUUUCACAUGAUGCUACUUAUACCGCCCCAGUCUGAUGUUUUUCAUGACUGAUUGGUUUACAAUAUCUGAAGAAUU